rnacentral:tRNA from 1 species
AAAAAGAUAAGCUAAAAUUAAGCUAAUGGGUUCAUACCCCAUCCAUGAAAUAAAAUUUCUCUUUUUA